rnacentral:lncRNA from 1 species
AGAUGGGAGAGAUUAUAAGCGAGGCAGGCCCCUCAUACCCCAUCCCAGGAGGACAGCACCACUCACCAGUCUCCUGCUGCGUUUUACCUUUCCCUCUGCAUUGGCACUCCCUCCAAACACACAAACUCACCCACCCAAGAAAGUCCAUUAGUUGAUAACCCACCCGCCCUGCCCCGGUUCCUUAAUGUUCCACUCAGCAGCCCCUAGGGACCCAAUGAUCUCACUCCCCAGCCCCACCGUCUCCCGCCCAGCCCUCACCCGCUUCAGCAUCACGAUUCCCAGCACAGCGAUGCCUGUGAAGAGCAGGGCGACCAGCAGCAUGAGCACCGCCACGGCAGGUUUGGAUCCCACCACCACGAGAGCAGUCACCCAGCCGCUGUGGGAAGAUGCGUGGCCCUUCCAUGACCUCUCUCACUUACCGGAAAGCCUUAUACAUCGGGCGGUACCAGCAGACAAAGGAGCAGGGAGUGAAAAGGAGCAGCCAGAGCAUAGACAGCCCAAAGCCUGAGCCACUGCCGGUGUCGACACAGAACCUGGCCAGGCAGGCGAAGAA